GGGCGCUUACCACUUUGUGAUCCAUGACUGGGGUGAAGUCGUAACAAGGUAACCGUAGGGGAACCUGCGGUUGGAUCACCUCCUUACC
rnacentral:rRNA from 1 species